CUACGGGGCGCUGCAGUGGGGAAUCUUAGACAAUGGGCGCAAGCCUGAUCUAGCCAUGCCGCGUGAGUGACGAAGGCCUUAGGGUCGUAAAGCUCUUUCGCUAGGGAAGAUAAUGACUGUACCUAGUAAAGAAACCCCGGCUAACUCCGUGCCAGCAGCCGCGGUAAUACGGAGGGGGUUAGCGUUGUUCGGAAUUACUGGGCGUAAAGCGCGCGUAGGCGGAUCAGAAAGUUGGGGGUGAAAUCCCAGGGCUCAACCCUGGAACUGCCUCCAAAACUCCUGGUCUUGAGUUCGAGAGAGGUGAGUGGAAUUCCGAGUGUAGAGGUGAAAUUCGUAGACAUUCGGAGGAACACCAGUGGCGAAGGCGGCUCACUGGCUCGAUACUGACGCUGAGGUGCGAAAGCGUGGGGAGCAAACAGGAUUAGAUACCCGGGUAGUC
rnacentral:rRNA from 1 species